rnacentral:rRNA from 1 species
GCGGCCUAUCAGCUUGUUGGUGAGGUAAUGGCUCACCAAGGCAACGACGGGUAGCCGGCCUGAGAGGGCGACCGGCCACACUGGGACUGAGACACGGCCCAGACUCCUACGGGAGGCAGCAGUGGGGAAUAUUGGGCAAUGGAGGAAACUCUGACCCAGCGACGCCGCGUGCGGGAUGAAGGCCUUCGGGUUGUAAACCGCUUUCAGUAGGGAAGAAGCGAAAGUGACGGUACCUACAAAAGAAGCACCGGCUAACUAUGUGCCAGCAGCCGCGGUAAUACAUAGGGUGCAAGCGUUGUCCGGAGUUAUUGGGCGUAAAGAGCUCGUAGGUCGUUUGUUACGUCGGAUGUGAAAACCUGAGGCUCAACCUCAGGCCUGCAUUCGAUACGGGCAAACUAGAGUUUGGUAGGGGAGACUGGAAUUCCU